UACGUAGGGUGCAAGCGUUUGUCCGGAAUUAUUGGGCGUAAAGAGCUCGUAGGCGGUCUGUCGCGUCUGCUGUGAAAACUCGGGGCUUAACCCCGGGCCUGCAGUGGGUACGGGCAGACUAGAGUGCGGUAGGGGAGACUGGAAUUCCUGGUGUAGCGGUGAAAUGCGCAGAUAUCAGGAGGAACACCGAUGGCGAAGGCAGGUCUCUGGGCAUUAACUGACGCUGAGACACGAAAGGCCAGGGGAGCAAACGGG
rnacentral:rRNA from 1 species